AUUGAACGCUGGCGGUAGGCUUAACACAUGCAAGUCGAGCGGUAGCACAGGGGAACUUUCUCCUUGGGUGACGAGCGGGGGGGGGGGGGGAAAUGUCUAUGAGACUAUAUGAUUGAGUGGGAGAACUCGUGGAAACGGUAACUAAAAUCUCAUAACGUCGCUAGGGCUAAGAGGGGGACCUCCGGGCCUCUUGCCAUCUGCUGUGACCAGAUGUUAUUAGCUAGUAUGGGGGGUAAUGGCUCACCUAGUCGCCGAGCUCUAGCUGUUCUGAGAGGAUGACCAGCCACACUGGAACUGAGACACGGUCCAGACUCCUACGGGAGGCAGCAGUGGGGAAUAUUGGACAAUGGGCGCAAGCCUGAUCCAGCCAUGCCGCGUGUGUGAAGAAGGCCUUCGGGUUGUAAAGCACUUUUGUUGAGAAAGAAGGUCAGGAGGUUAAUACGGUGAUCACUUGACGUUACCCGCAGAAUAAGCACCGGCUAACUGCGUA
rnacentral:rRNA from 1 species